rnacentral:rRNA from 1 species
UACGGAGGGUGCAAGCGUUGCUCGGAAUUAUUGGGCGUAAAGGGUAGGUAGGUGGUCUUAUUUGUCUGGGGUGAAAGCCUUGAGCUUAACUCAAGAAGUGCCCCAGAAACGGUGAGACUGGAGUCCUGGAGAGGGUCGUGGAAUUCCUGGUGUAGCGGUGAAAUGCGCAGAUAUCAGGAGGAACACCGGUGGCGAAGGCGGGACUCUGGGCCGAUACUGACGCUGAGGAGCGAAAGCGUGGGGAGCAAACAGG